UGUCGCCGCCAAAACAACCUUCCCAGUGUCUUUUCGGCGAUCUGAAGCUGGAAACAAACUCCUAGACCCUCAAAACCUCAAGGCAGCCUUUGCCCGUCGAUUUCCUCCCGCCAAUAGUGGUAGGUGAGCCUCGCCGGAGCUGAAACUUUCCGUCCUCGAUCUGGUGACUUCCAGCGAGUUUCAGGCGAAGAUAUUUUCAUAUUUGGAGGAACUCCUCGUAGCUCAAGCUUCACAUACGCGUCUCCGGAUUCGAAAUCCGACACCAUUGGUGGUACUGGUUUUCAGACUCGGGUGUUUUUCGGACGCGUAAAAAUUCCGGUUCGACUCGAUAUAAUUUUAUUUAAGCUUUAAAAAUUAUUUUAACAUUAUUAGAAAAUAUAUGGUAUAUUAAUUGUUAGUUAUAAUUAAUUUAUUUAAUUAUUUAAUUAAUUAGUAGCCCGAUCCUAGAAUUACUGCAGAUUAAUUAUAGAAAGAGUUAAUAUUCUAUUAUGUAAAUUGAGGCUGUGAUUAAUUAAAUCAAAAGCAAAAAAAUAAUUAUGUGAUUGUAUCGGGAACAACAUUAUUAUUUUUGCCGGACUGUUGAUUUUGUAUUGUGAUUUAGAUUGUAUUGCGGAGUUGGAAAAUAAUGCAGCUUGUAUGGCCCGACUCUUGUUGAAUAAUAGUAGAAUAUUUGAAGUGUUUCUAGCAGAUUCUGGACUCGUUAUACAAGGGGUAAACGUUCAUAUUUUAAGAGAGGUUCUGUCGAAUUUUCGGUGGAAUUUCUAAGUCAAAAUAUCUUAGGC
rnacentral:lncRNA from 1 species